AAGGAGCGCCACGUUUGGCUGUUUGCAGAUGAGAUGUUAUACUGCAAAUAAUUAGUCAAGUAUUUUUUCCUGACUUUCCUGCCUCUUUGGAACAAAUCCAUUCACAUUUACUUUGGAGAGCACCGGGACAUUGACAUAAACAGGACUUU